UUUGUAUUUCAGAAAGUGGCGCCCCCAAGGGCCCUCUCUAUCCAGAACCAGAACCCCUCACGCCAUGGGUCACAAACCUCGCCCCACUGAUAACUCCCAAGCCAUAAAACAACCUUUGUCGAUUCGCACUGUUUGUUCCACAAAUAUGAGCUUUAAGUAUCGAGGGCUGAUAAGUCGAAAUUGUUGGACAUUCUGUAUAAAAAUCAUGGAGCAUCGAGCAGCACCAUUUAGCCCACUCUGUGGCAUGUUGUAAUCAUCAUAGGAAUACCACCUCAAGCGCAAUAAGUUGGCCGAAACCGGUUUGGUUCUCUUUUUCUGUUGUCUUUUUGCUAAAAAACACAACAAAACCGGUGAAGGGCAGCUCGAAUAAAUUACAUGAUGCGGUGCAAGUAUGCGGAAUAAAGGAAGUCGUUUUCCCAGCUAGAGGGCAUGGUCGGAGCUUUUGUCUCAAGUCUGGGGGGGAAUACCAUACCCUUGAUUACGUUACCCGACAUCAAGGUGAAAUCAUGAAAUAAAAAUCAUUAAACAAUGA